CAGAAUGAGGCUUAAAGUAGAGUAUCUAACAAGAUACAAGGACCACACUUCAUGUGCUUGUGGGGAUGGAUUAAGCACCACACAUGGGCUGUUAGAGUGUAAUGAAAACAACUUAGACAGGGAAGAACUAAAACACUUCUUACACAAAUAUAGACUGGCACUAAACCUUAACAGCUGCCUCAACCCUCCAAAAGAGCUGUGGCACAAUGCACUGUCAUUAGUGGCAUCAGUAGCAACAAGCCACAAACUCUAGACUAAUCUGUUAGACAAAAGAUAACUAGAUUAAAAAGAGAGAUGUACACCCACAGGAAGGAGACGCUAAGCCGUAUAAAACUAAGACUAACAAGAACAAACUGAAAGCAUACACCACCACGGCAGAACACACAGGCAUAGUUAGAAAGUACCAGCAAAGGAAAACGAAAGGGCAGCAGCACAGUGCACCACCCAAACAGACGGCAAACAUAAUCACCAACAGAAAAAGAGAGCACAAACAAAAUGGACAAUACAUGAGGCGGCACAAGACAGCGACACACACACACACAGUGCCAAAUCACCGUGAGGGGGAAGCACUUUCCCUUAAAAAAAAUCAACAACAACGACGACGACGAGAGGAGAGAGAGCAGCCUGAGAGAAGGACGCGGCGAGUCAUCGCCAACCAAUCAGCCCGGUUGACGGAGUCUGUGCUCGGACCUACGUUCUGUCUUAGAUAAAUCCUUCAGGUGGCCAGCAGGCUGUCACCACCAUCAAGAGCUUCCAACAGCCUACGGACACGCGUUCAAGCAUUAUUUACAGAGUGAACGCGAGUGUCAGCCGUGUGGUAGGUCACCGUCUGGGGGCUACCAUAAGGCGAUCGCUUGACUGAAGCAACAUCACAACACAGGCCAUGCCAACCAAGAACAAGACAGCAAACACAACGGCGGCAACCCUGUUCUAUAACUUCACUGCGCACUACGGGAUGCCCUGCCGGCUGUACUCCGAUCAAGGUGCUAAUUUUGAAAGUCGUAUGAUCAAAGAAUUGUGCCUGAUAACGGGAUUGCAUAAAUCUCGGACUACCCCAUACCACCCUAGGGUUCAAUCGCACAUUGCUCAUGGAAACAUAGUGCGUGUGGACGUGUUGUGUGUCUUGCUCUGGUGACAGCCGCGUCCGUGACACGGGCCCAGAGAAUGUUACUUGUACAACCGCCACUGAUAUUGUGCAAACAGUUCACCUGCCUGUAAACUCCUGUGAAUUGAUAGGCUUUUCUGACCAGUUUGCUUUGCUUCAGUGAAACAUGGCUUACUGAUAAUGAUUCUAACUCGGCGAUGGAACUGGAGAAUUUUUUGUUUGUCAGACUGGAUAGAGACCCUCGUUCUACUGGAAAGAGGAAGGGAGGCGGUGUGUGCGUGUAUGUCAACCAACAGUGGUCUGAUCCUAACAAUGUAUCGGUCAAGGAGAGAGUUUGUGUACCUGACGUUGAGCUGCUGUGUGUAGGCCUGCGGCCUUACUAUCUGCCGCGUGAAUACAGCCACGUGAUUCUUUGUGUUGUUUACAUCCAUCCGGCGGCCAUCGAAAAGACGGCGUCGGAAACUGUGGCCACGGUGAUAUCCAGUCAGCAGUUAAAGUCGCCUGACGUGCUGUGUUUGAUAACUGGGGAUUUUAAUCAUUGUAAUUUGAAGAAAACCUUGCCUACUUUUUAUCGUUUGGUGGACAGGUGUUAUUGCAGUAAUCUCCCCAGUACUUCUCACGGCAACCUGUUCACGGAACAUGCAUGGCUUUGAGAGACAGCGCGUCUUGACAGACAACUACAAAGACUUUAAGGUGGUCAACAGGUCGAACACACACAGAAAGCAAAAUAAAGAAUACCAAGUAGAGUACAGAUACACCAGCUUUCCUCCACUGCCUCAAAUAUACAUGAAAAUCACCAUCCCCUCUCACUCGUCAAAAACCAUCCAAAGUACAUUUCUAACUGGUCAGUCCUGUACCAAGAAAAGGAGCGCCGCUCUGGAACUCGGCACAUAUUCCAUCAUGAUCUGCGUAGCUGUCACACACAAUGCUACACCAUAAUACACACUCCAAACUGCUAUUGCCAACGCUGGGGUCGCGGAACAACACUUCAGGACGUCGACGGACUGAACUCCGUGAUAAAAAUCAUUAGCAAAUCAAGAUGGCCAUGAGUAAUGUUCAACCAUACCAAUUUGAACCACUUGCAUCAGCUGACAAUGUCAUCGACUGCACAUCCUCGGAGGACGAGGAAAACGUUGCAGCAGUCGAAGGACAAAGCAGGUAGGACUACACAUGUAUAUAAGUAAGUCAUAUUGUGUGCACGGGAACAGAAAGUGAACGCAAGCUUUACCUUCAAGCACUUUAAAAUAAACAUAAUGCACUCGAACUCUUUACACUGCGCAUUGUUGUUGACCAAUUCACUUCGUAGUGUAUUUAAAAAGUAAAAUUACAUUUGGCGUGCUAAUUAUUUCCUCUCACACUGUCAUGAACCAGCCUGGUUCAAGGCCCGAACAACAGGCCGAAGCGGGUGUAGAUAAUUAUAGGUGGGCCGUGGUCAGUGAAAGAGGACAGUGGAGGGAAGCCUUUCUGUCCGUUUUUACGACUUGACAGGUCGCCCACAUUGAUGAAGGCGAUCGAGGCCCAGGGUUAGGGAGUGUAAGAUGUAGUAGUAGGGGAAUAGCGCGGUGGUCAGUAGUGGCCUUACCAUUAGAGCGAUAGCGUCAGAACCGGGUUCUGAACCGAGUAGUCACGUGCCCUCGUAGUAUAUAGUUAGGGUUAGAUGGUUAGUCGGGGCUUUCCACCUUGUGUUCCAGCAGAGACGUCUGUUUCUGAGUGUUAUUCAGUUGCAGGCAGCACGUCUGAGACAGGGAAGCUCGUUCAGUCAGAACGUAUCACUACCUGCUGGCACUUGCGAUCUGGUUGUAGAAGAAAGGAGGGUGUGUGCUGUGACCAAGAGGCUGAUUCUCCCAACGACAAGUGAGGGAGUUAACUGUGUCCGGCAGCGAGAAGUGCGAGGCAGCGGCUGGCAGAUCCCACCGUGCCACCGGUCCAGUGUGGUCAUCUACAGAACAACAUACAAGCCAUCUCUGCUACGAGUAUCGUCGCUGCAUCCAUUGCCUGGGGCAACUGUGGUGGGACAGUGACAAGAAGUCAUCUAGAAGACCAGGUGCAUGCAGGCAGCUGCACCCAUCUUCAGGAAACAACGCCGUUCAGUCAGAAGGCAUCUCUACUCCGAGCAUCGUCGCUGAAUCCAUUGCCUGGGGCAACUGUGGUGGGACAGUGGUAAGAAAUCAUCUAGAAGACAAGGUGCAUGCAGCCAGCUGCACUCAUCUCCAAGAAACAAAGAGCAAGGUAGCCGAGUGGUACCCCCAGUACCAAGGUUGUUCUGUGAGAGAACUGUCCAAAGACUGGUGAAGUGUGUUUUAUCUCAUUUACAUUCUUCACAUUCUUACAUUUUGUGACCUGAUAAUAAUUAGUGUAUUUGGAGACUCAUAUUACGUCUCGUGUGUGCCAAACUAAUUUGCUUUGUUGAUUUUUGAUUAUAAAUUUACAAUCUGUACAACUGUCUCGUCAGUUGUGUCUGCGCACGCGAGGAGAGCGACUGUCAAGUGAGCGUGUGGACGUGUGAACGGGCGGGUGACGGAGUGUGAGGGUGAGAGAGGGCGGAGCGAGCCAGCCAGAGUGACCCCUUUCCCCUCGGGCGAGUGAGGCCCAUCCCUCUACAGCCGCCUUCGUCAUCAUCACACACACACACACCGGAAUAUUCACAUUGUAUAUGAUAAUUUAGGUUUUGAAGUGAACUUUCCAAAGGAUAGUUUCAACAAUUAAUAUUUCGAAAUAUCUGUGUUUAAAUAUUUUAAAUAGACAAUAUUUGCAGCCUUUUAGGGGUAUAGUUUGAAUAAUUUCACUAAUGACUUUAUAACAACGAUGCAUAGAAUUCAAGCAGAGACGUUUGCUUUAUAUGUUAUUAUGUCUGUGCUUUUAACUUAUAACUUCUGUUACUCUUGAACUGGCUAAUGUACCUGUUUUGAUUUGAUUUUACUUUUCUCAAAAAGCAAUAAA